CCCUCCCAGCAGCCACCGUCCGAAAGCCCCAGGCCCCCAGCGGCCACCCGCCUGCCCGGCCGACCGGCCCCAUGCCCCCGCCCACCCCGGCCGACCGGCCCCAUGCCCCCGGCCGACGCCCGCACAUCCAUGCCCCAGCAACAGCGAGCGCCCCGCCCGCCGCCCGCUGACCGUCACAUGGAGGAAGCUGUCGCCCUCCGGCCGCCGCGCGGAGGCUGGUCGCGGGAUGCACAGAGGUCGCGCCGCCGCCGUCCACACCCAGUGCCGCGGCCUCCGACGAGCUAGCUUGCCGACCGCGCCUCACUAGUCCGCUUCGGCCUCGCCAAUCCACAAAUCAAGCAUCCCACGACGAAGUGAGCCAGGUCGGCACCUGGUGCUUCAAGCGGAUCUCGAGCUGCUGCUGUAUCUCAAUCUGUGGGUUGAUUUGUGUGGAUGUUGAUUUGUGUUGUUUUGCACUUGUAUUGAACUUGGAGUGCUCCCUGUGUGGUGUUGGUUGUAUGUAAUGUAAUAAUCUUAACUAUAUUAUGCUUGCCGAUUUGUAAAAAAAUUCGGGUUUCGGAUUACCCGUUGGGUUUAGGUUA